GCCAGACUCCUACGGGAGGCAGCAGUGGGGAAUAUUGGGCAAUGGGCGAAAGCCUGACCCAGCAAUGCCGCGUGAAUGAAGAAGGUCUUAGGAUUGUAAAAUUCUGUCCUAUGGGAAGAAACAAAUGACGGUACCCCAGGAAUAAGCCACGGCUAACUACGUGCCAGCAGCCGCGGUAAUACGUAGGUGGCAAGCGUUAUCCGGAUUUAUUGGGUGUAAAGGGCGUGUAGGCGGGAAUGCAAGUCAGAUGUGAAAACUAUGGGCUCAACCCAUGGCCUGCAUUUGAAACUGUAUUUCUUGAGUGCUGGAGAGGCAAUCGGAAUUCCGUGUGUAGCGGUGAAAUGCGUAGAUAUACGGAGGAACACCAGUGGCGAAGGCGGAUUGCUGGACAGUAACUGACGCUGAGGCGCGAAAGCGUGGGGAGCAAACAGGAUUAGAUACCCUUGUA
rnacentral:rRNA from 1 species